rnacentral:rRNA from 1 species
GGGAUUGCCUUAGUAACUGCGAGUGAAGCGGCAAAAGCUCAAAUUUGAAAUCUGUCGCCUCCGGCGGCCGAGUUGUAAUUUGGAGGGAUAUCUUCGGGGACGGCGCCGCCCUAAGUUUCUUAGAACAGGACAUCAUAGAGGGUGAGAAUCCCGUGCCUGGGUGGCUGCCCCGUCUCCAUGUGAAGUGUCUCCGACGAGUCGAGUUGUUUGGGAAUGCAGCUCAAAAUGGGUGGUAAAUUUCAUCUAAAGCUAAAUAUUGGCGAGAGACCGAUAGCGCACAAGUAGAGUGAUCGAAAGAUGAAAAGCACUUUGAAAAGAGAGUUAAAAAGUACGUGAAAUUGUUGAAAGGGAAGCGCUUGCGACCAGACUUGAUCUUUGGUGAUCAGCCGGGCUUCUGUCCGGUGCCCUCGCCGCUGAUCAGGCCAGCAUCGGUUCCGGGGGCGGGAUAAAAGGUGGGGGAAUGUGGCUUCCUUCGGGGAGUGUUAUAGCCCCUGUCACAAUGCCGCCACUUGGGACCGAGGACCGCGCUUCGGCUAGGAUGCUGGCGUAAUGGUCUUAAGCGACCCGUCUUGAAACACGGACCAAGGAGUCUAACAUCUAUGCGAGUGUUCGGGUGGAAAACCCUUGCGCGUAAUGAAAGUGAACGUAGGUGUGAACCCGCGAGGGUGCAACAUCGACCGGUCCCGAUGUCUUCGGAAGGAUCUGAGUAAGAGCAUAGCUGUUGGGACCCGAAAGAUGGUGAACUAUGCCUGAAUAGGGUGAAGCCAGAGGAAACUCUGGUGGAGGCUCGCAGCGGUUCUGACGUGCAAAUCGAUCGUCAAAUUUGGGUAUAGGGGCGAAAGACUAAUCGAACCAUCUAGUAGCUGGUUCCUGCCGAGUUU